rnacentral:rRNA from 1 species
UGCGGAGGAUGCAAGCGUUAUCCGGAUUCAUUGGGUUUAAAGGGUGCGUAGGCGGCUUUUUAAGUCAGUGGUGAAAUCUUGCCGCUUAACGGUAAAAUUGCCAUUGAUACUGAGAAGCUUGAGUACAGAUGAGGUAGGCGGAAUGUGUAGUGUAGCGGUGAAAUGCUUAGAUAUUACACAGAACACCAAUUGCGAAGGCAGCUUACUAAACUGUCACUGACGCUGAUGCACGAAAGCGUGGGGAUCGAACAGGAUUAGAAACCCG